rnacentral:rRNA from 1 species
UACAGAGGUCUCGAGCGUUGUUCGGAUUUACUGGGCGUAAAGGGAGCGUAGGCGGUCUUUCAAGUCAGGAGUGAAAGGCUACGGCUCAACCGUAGUAAGCUCUUGAAACUGUAAGACUUGAGUGCAGGAGAGGAGAGUGGAAUUCCUAGUGUAGCGGUGAAAUGCGUAGAUAUUAGGAGGAACACCAGUUGCGAAGGCGGCUCUCUGGACUGUAACUGACGCUGAGGCACGAAAGCGUGGGGAGCAAACAGGAUUAGAUACCCCCGUAGUCCCU